rnacentral:rRNA from 1 species
UGGGGAAUAUUGCACAAUGGGGGAAACCCUGAUGCAGCGACGCCGCGUGAGUGAAGAAGUAUUUCGGUACGUAAAGCUCUAUCAGCAGGGAAGAAAAUGACGGUACCUGACUAAGAAGCCCCGGCUAACUACGUGCCAGCAGCCGCGGUAAUACGUAGGGGGCAAGCGUUAUCCGGAUUUACUGGGUGUAAAGGGAGCGUAGACGGUUAGACAAGUCUGAAGUGAAAGGCGGGGGCUCAACCCCCGGACUGCUUUGGAAACUGUAGAACUGGAGUGCAGGAGAGGUAAGUGGAAUUCCUAGUGUAGCGGUGAAAUGCGUAGAUAUUAGGAGGAACACCAGUGGCGAAGGCGGCUUACUGGACUGUAACUGACGUUGAGGCUCGAAAGCGUGGGGAGCAAACAGG